AGGAGCGGCCGUUGCGUGGUGGAGAACCCCCCUUCCUCCGACGUCCCCUCCUUGGUCUGUUUCGUCGUCCUCGGCCCGCUGCCAUCAUCCGAGGCCCCCGAGGUUUCCGUCAGCUGUCGGCCGCAGUCUCUGAGAGCUCUUCGUCGCCAGUCUGGGGGAUAUCGGAGCAACAAGACCGGCUGUUCAGUGAUUUCUUGCUCUCGCCUCCGGUCAAGGUGAGUAAUCCCUCAGAAUAUCUGAGAUGACGGUCCUCAUCGCUUAUCCGUACAUUCAUCCUUGGUUCCGCUUACCUUUUUCCCGCCGGGAUUUUCGAUGUUCUUCGUGAGCGAGGCUGUGAGGAGCCGAUCUCCCCUCUGCAGUCUCGUCGUCUGGUUCAAGAGGAAGGCCAGUGCGGCCUCCAAUGCUUCUAUGCUUUUGCGACUUCGACGAGGGCUUCCGCGUCUUAUUGUUCCGUUCCUCCUCUUAAUCAGGCUGUCGGCUCCCGAUGAUGCUCUUCAUUACCAUGCUAAUUCCGAUGACUCUGACGAAGUCUUACUCUCUUGAUUCUGAGGGAGCUGCGUCGCCAUGAUUUCGCGCAACCUCACGAUAGUUCCCUAUCUAAGAUGCUUGGUGAUCGUAUCAGCCACGUUAACCCUGACGCUUCCGGCGGAGCCUCAUCGUGAUCGAUGCUCCCCUGAGUAGAGUGUUCUCCCUGUUUCAUUCGAUUGCGAAUUCCGGGGGUCUUUUUUCUGCUCGCCUCGUCGUCUGCACAUCAGAAUUUGAGUGAUGAAAAUCCUAUGAACUUCUCGCGGUUCUAUUCUGAUCUGCGGAAAACAAGGCGAGCAUUCGAAUUCUUGUAGGUGCGAGCGUCUCUUUCUUUGCUGUGGGCUCCCAAUGAUGCUCUUUUAUACCAUGCUAAUUCUGAUUCAAAAAGAUUAAGCCCUAUCGUGAUGUCCCUGAGGGAGAGGGAGUUCCUUUGCCCCCUUUUUUAAGUCACGUCGUUGACCAAUCUCAUUUAAGUUUCUUUUCCCCCAAUUUUUCGGACCUGUUUAUCUUGAUUUACCCCCGAGUUUGCGGCCAUGCUUUGGUUCUUCCGUGGGAUUUCGAUGAUCAUAGUUUUCGAUUUUUCGAAGAAAAUCUCUCUUUAUUUCAGCUCGGGUGUUGACCUCAGCAACUGGACACCUGCCAUAAGUCAAAGCCGUGAGGGCGGCAGAGAGGCCGAGUGCGACGUUGUUCUCCAUUUUAAAGACGCUUGUUCUUCAUGCUCCCUCAAAAGGGCGGCGUCGAAAGUCAGAAGGUCCUUUUCGUGGGUCAGCGCACAUUUCAUUUAGAAGGUCAAACGGAAAAAUUCUCCAAUAAAGGCAAUGCUUUUCCGGAUGGGCAUCGCAUAUCUUUCUGUCACUCAACGCUGACUGGAGUAAAUCUCAAAACGGAGGUGGAUCCAAGGUCAACACACCCACAUCUAAAUGCAAAUCCGGAAAUGGUAUUGGGGUUAGAGUGUCUGUAGCGUCAGCGGUCGACUCAGGGCUUCCAACUCUGUCGGAAGGGGUCAGUCAGGGGUUGACUUUGAAUGUAUAGGUCAACUCGUCAACUCUACGUCUCUUCCUCGUCCGAGGAUCGCACCACCGUGCGCCGCCACCUCUUGACCCUGUCGCUACCGUCCUGCUGCUCUCGGUGGUCUUCCUCUUCCGACUGAGAUGCCUCGCCACGGCCGACCUCUGGAGUCAAACCCUCAUCCGUCUCUUCUCUCUCAUCAUCUUCCUGGGACCCGUAGACGCUGCCGUCGCCUCUACCAGCGGAGACCGCGGCGCCGUCGUCGUCGUCCUCCCGCCGGUUGACAUUCGUCGCAUCCAGAAUCUUAAAGUCCCUGGCGGUGCUGCGCUUCGCGCGCCUCAGCAGGUUGACCCCGGUCAACCUGCUGAGCUGGAUCAGGUACUUCUCGGAGUCCUCUAUCUGGAACACAAGGUCCGGGACCCACUUGUUCUCUCUCUUGAUCCUCCCCGAGAGGCCCCUCCCACGCGCCGCUUCCCGCUGGUUCUGCAUACCCGACGACGCGGCGGGCGAGAGACAUCACACCGUCAUAUGGGGGCCCCACCAGAGUCACGUGACUAAAAAUAUAUAGAUUUUUUAUACCUGUUGAAUCAUAGCGACGAAGCCAUAGAGAGGGGCUGUCAGCUUCCUGCAGGUGACUUCCGCCAGCUCCUGGAACUUGCUACUUGGAGGAAGCUGCUCGAACCCUCUGCGGGCGAUCCUCAGCUUCGUCGCACGUGACAUGAUCUUGUAGAAUUUCGCCGCCAAUUUUAGCAAUUGCUCGGCCUGAGAAUCUGCGCGUGAAAAUCAUAUUUAUGAAUAAAUUAAUGGCAUUUUUUCUGCAUGUGGGAAAGACUGCA
rnacentral:lncRNA from 1 species